AGCUACUCUGCUUAUAUGGGCUGCCAGUUGUCUCUCGCACUUUGUCGAUAUGACCGGACCAGAACGGGGAAGUAGAACCGCCUUCGGGCCAGUGGCUGUUUGUUACUCUGAACGUAGAUCACUGUCUUCCAUGUCAACGUUAGGGGAAACAGCCAAACAAUUGUCGUUCCACACGUUGGGCCUUUUCAGAUUGCUCUCUAAUCCCGUUGAGAUCUAGGAUACCUGUCUCGCAGAUAUAGCGAUCGAUAUAUUUUGCGGGGACCCACUCAAAGUACACGUUUCGAGCCUCCACUAUUGUGCGCCAUGAGGCCGGCUUCACGGUUCUGCCAGGAUGCUGGUCCCAUAGGCACUCCAGCUCUCAACAGCAGGUAAACUACCAGUCUUGUUGCUCACAUUGCCGUUGUCAGAUAUCCGAUCAGCUCCCAGUAGAACAGCAUCAACGUCUCUCGCUAGGAUUGCAACGCUAGAAUCCGAUGCGAUCUCUAUAUGCAGCCGAUCUGUGGCCCCGACGUCUCCUGCGCGGUGUACGAGCUCUUUGGCAAAGUCUACCCCUUCGCAGAGCGGUCGAGAUUCCAUGACCUUCAACUGAAUAUUCAACCCUCUAUCCCCGCUCUCCUUGCUCUCCGUCUCCAACACCGUCGCCAACGCAUUAACAACCGUUGCACUGGAGCUUAGGGUCAAGAUCUUCACCACUCGUCUCUGAUCCUGGACAGUACCUUUCUCAUAUAAAAACCGCCGUAACGCCACGGCAAUGUGCGUCCGUGUGGCAUCCUCAUUCCUCUCCAUCAAAUAAGCAUGCAUCCUCUCAACACCCAUCCUAAUACAUCGUUCUUGAGCUUCAGCCUGCUCCCCCCCGUCACCAUCCGCUCCGGACACCUUCCUCUUCAACCCGCAUGCCCCACAUCGAUCGCUAACCAUCUCUUCAUCCAGCCGUGCCAGUCCCAGCCUGCUCCUAUCCAACACCUUGACAAUUGCAUUUGUAAUCGCCGCAUUCAUACUCGGUCGCCCGUAUUUAGAAAGGAUCCACCCAGCCUUCCGACACGACUCCCACCAUGUCUCCACCGCCGAGUGAGGCGAACCGUGCAACUUACCCCCGUGUGUCUGCGCCUCAUCCUGCUUUAUCUCCUCAAUAAGUCUCUCCGCGAUAAUUUCUGCAAUGCGCACCAAUGAAAAUACUGCCGUCGUAGCGAGGUCUUUGGCCCCGCUGACGUGGUCUGUCCUCAGACGCAAUAAGCCAUUCGAAAGGGCAUCUUUAGCCUCCGGGUACGCAGUUACUUCAAGCUUGUACGUGGGGGACGUGAUGGGUGGGGUAGACAGAUCUGGAACUGAGAUAGCGGGGGAGGCUGGCAUGGCUAUUGACGCACGUGGUUGCGUUCGGAUGAUGCCGUGUUGAUACGAACACGCAACCUAAGGUUAUAAGUAAGUAGACUACGAUGUAAUUUCCUUCUUUGUAGGGUCGCCUUUUUGGCAAAAUAUAGAGGCGGGACAAAUAAUUUUGUUAUUGUUGCGUAGAUGUAGAGCAGGUUAUAACUUGGUGGGGUUUGAAUGGCCACCAAGGUCAAGAGGGGGACAAAAGUUUACCGGGCUCCAGUUGCUUAGCCGGGGCGCUCACGUAAGUUAAGUAUUGAGCUCCUUCAGGCAACUAAGUUUGCAGCUUGAUUGCUUCAGACAGUUGACUACGGACUGUUGGUUAUUCUGCGCAAUAAUUACAAACGUAUCAUCAAAUAUCGCCAUAUCAUAUGCGUAAUUUAUAUACAAAACCAAGUCCGCACAAAAGAUCAAAAUAAAAACGAAAUAAAAAAUAAAAUAAAAAUAAAGAACUCCAGUCAAGCCCAGGAUCGCCAUGGAUAAGUCAAACAGUAAUUGCGACACUCAACAAUAAAGCCCGAACGGUAUAUAUAAAUGGAGCAGCAAAUGACAAAUAGUAAACCGAAUAAACCAAAAUGGAAACAAGAAAAAUACCAGAAGUCAUUCGUAUCAAUUUUUACGAGCAGCCAGUCCACCCCGGGCACCUGCAUCGUUAUGCGGAUGAGUGUAAUAUAUAAAGUAAAAAUAAAGGAUAUUCGCAAGCAGGAAAGUAGCA
rnacentral:sRNA from 1 species